rnacentral:rRNA from 1 species
UCCAGACUCCUACGGGCGGCAGCAGUGGGGCCUCUUGGGCAAUGGGCUCCCGCCUGACCCCGCCCCGCCGCGUGCCGGCAGAAGGCUUUCGGGUUGUAAACUUCUUUUGACAGGGCCGCGGAGAAUACGGUCCCUGUCGAAUACGCCCCGGCUAACUCCGUGCCAGCAGCCGCGGUCAUACGUAGGUGGCGAGCGUUAUCCGGACUGAUUGGGCGGAAAGGGUGCGCAGGCGGUCCUGCAAGUCUGGAGUGAAACGCAUGAGCUCAACGCAGGCGUGGCGGUGGAAACUGGAGGACGGGAGAGCAGGAGAGGGCGGGGGAACUCCAUGGGGAGCGGUAAAAUGCGGAGAUAUAUGGAAGAACACCAGUGGCGAAGGCGGCCGCCGGGCCGGUUGCUGACGCGGAGGCACGAAAGCGGGGGGAGCACAGAGGAGGAGAGACCCGAGGAU